rfam:Salmo salar isolate Sally breed double haploid chromosome ssa03, whole genome shotgun sequence.
UGCACUCACUAUUGUAAGUCGCUCUGGAUAAGAGAGUCUGCUAAAUGACUAAAA